GUUGAAAGUAAUUGGUUCUGCAGCCGGGUGCGUUCUGCAUGGAAGAAAUAAAUUUAAGAUUUUCUUCCACUUAGUAGUGAACAUGAUCCGACGAACAUCCUCUGGUCCAAAAAGGAUACCGAAAUGUGGAAAGUUUGUCGGAACUGCAAAUACAGGAUUUGCGAGCUUACUUAUAAGCCCGUUUAGCUGGACUGGAUUCUACCUAAUGUGACUGGAGCUGGCUUCGGGUUUUACGACUCAGCUGGAGCAACCGAAUAUACCCAUAGCUGGUAGUGAUGCAGCGGAAAAGUGAAAACAGCAGCUAGAAUAUCAAGUUCUUUUCCAUGAUCUGGAUGCCAGUUGCCAUUUAGGAAUCCUAAUCCGACGAACAUCCUUUGGUCCAGUAAGGAUGCCGAAAUCUGAGGAUCCUCAGAUAAUCGGGAGCUGAAUAUUAAUCCGACCAGGUGCUGCGCAAUUGUUCCACCAUGAUAUUUUGAUGGUACGCGGUAAUUUUCCGUACUAUCUGGGGGGUCAGACUGCCGGAAAAUCAUCAUCCGGCUGUGGAGUGUUGGAAACACCUCCUGAACAACGGAAUUGUGCUGUUGGUGCUGAUCAUCCCGCUAGGAGCUCAACAGAACCCCCUCAACCCUCAAAACAUUCUACUUGAACUUCUUCCGGAAAAGCAUUUACCGGUCCUUAUCGUUCCUGGCUAUGUUUUGCGAUCCCGGAUCCUAUUUUUCCGAAUCACAAGCAGAGCCGAAGGAUCGGGACUUCCACCGGGACAGUGAAAGCACAGAGAAGUGAAAGUGUGAC